GUGGUCAUAUGCGCUGUAGUGGAAGAGUAGGUGGAGGAGAUUGUCAAAAAACAAGCUGAAACUUCCCCGGGGUGAUACAUGGCGUACGCCCAGGAUAUCCAGAAGCUGUGGAAGACUGCAGAGAACAGGUACACUCUUGUAACUCACCGAAAAAGUGCCUUCUGGACUGUAUAUGAUUCAUCAAAACUACACAGACAAAAUAUAAAAUAAAUCUCCUCCAGUCAUAUGCACACACGAAUCUUACUGAAACCAAGACACAACUACACCCACUUCUGAGGAGAGGAUUAAAGAACAGCAUGUGACAUGCAUUACUGGAAUACACUUGAGAUACUAUGGUGAUGAGUGUAUGUAGACUAGAACUGUCAAGUUUAAUUCCAGGAUUUAUUAUAGGGCAUGUAUUUUUAGCCUGUCUCCUAAAGAUAGGAGACUAGGACCAUAUAACUAUGUACCAGCCCAGUUCUUUCCCUUCCCUUCUGCCUUUCCUCUCCGACACCUUCCCGGGAGCUUUUAACCCAAUGACCAGUUUGACAAAGGGGUCAAAAACUGAG
rnacentral:lncRNA from 1 species